GGGCUUGUAGCUCAGUGGAUUAGAGCACGUGGCUACGAACCACGGUGUCGGGGGUUCGAAUCCCUCCCUGCCCA
rnacentral:tRNA from 1 species